GGGUUUAUAAUAAAAAAUUAUUAUAAUAGAUUUGCAUUCUGUCUUUGUCUUGAUGACUAAAUCCA
rnacentral:tRNA from 1 species